rnacentral:rRNA from 1 species
UUUUUAUAAUUUAUAAAUUUUUUAUAGUUAUAUUAAUAUAUAAAUUUAUAAAAUUAUUAGUUUGGGGUGAAUUUAAAAUUUAAUAAACUUUUAAUUAUUUAAAUAAUGAUUUUUAAAUUAUUGAUCCAAUUUUUUUGAUUAUAAAAUUAAGU